UGUGUGCCAAACUGGAAAGCACGGA
rnacentral:piRNA from 1 species